AGUGAACGCUGGCGGUAGGCCUAACACAUGCAAGUCGAACGGCAGCACAGUAAGAGCUUGCUCUUACGGGUUGCGAGUGGCGGACGGGUGAGGAAUACAUCGGAAUCUACUUUUUCGUGGGGGAUAACGUAGGGAAACUUACGCUAAUACCGCAUACGCCCUACGGUUGAAAGCAGUGGAUCUUCGGACCUUGCGCGAUUGAAUGAGCCGAUUUCGGAUUAGCUAGUUGGCGGGGUAAAGGCCCACCAAGGCGACGAUCCGUAGCUGGUCUGAGAGGAUGAUCAGCGACACUGGAACUGAGACACGGUCCAGACUCCUAAGGGAGGCAGCAGUGGGGAAUAUUGGACAAUGGGCGCAAGCCUGAUCCAGCCAGACCGCGUGGGUGAAGAAGGCCUUCGGGUUGUAAAGCCCUUUUGUUGGGAAAGAAAAGCAGCAGGUUAAUACCACGCUGUUCUGACGGUACCCAAAGAAUAAGCACCGGCUAACUUCGUG
rnacentral:rRNA from 1 species